UGAUUUUCUUAUUGUUUCAGGAGAAGAUUGGGCUCCUCAACCUGGAACAGAUCCAGAGCAAGGUAGUCCACAGCAUCAACUUCUGGGGAGCCCUGAAUGCCAAGAGACCAACGUGUCAGGAGAUGCCGCGUAGCUUGUCUCCACUGACCUACCAGCAGAAAUCACGAAUCACGACGGCUGUUUGCACUCAAUGAGUUGGGCAGGGUGAAAGUGAUUGUUUCGUUGCGCUGCGACUUCUCAAAUCACUGAAUGAAUUGUAAGCUCCUUCAAAUUGCGGCUGGAUGGGUAAAAGACAAAAAGGGUGCGAUGUAAGCAAUCUGUGGCUUGUACAGCUAAAUUGUAAGGCGAAUGCUUUUGAAAAAUAAUCAGCGAUUUUUUUUUUUUUUUCACCUGCUCCAUAAUGUGAUUUUUAUUUUUUUAACAACCAACCCUGGUUUAGAUGCUUCAAAUGUCACCCAAACACAAAUACCAAGACAGUGGACAAGCACAUUGGAA